AUGCUGAGGAGGCAGGGGAUAAUGACCACAAAUCUGUCCGUACUAAAGGCCAUGAGAUGAAAUUCACAAGAGAUGUCCUGCCACAGCCUCAAAUCUCUAACUAUGAUGGUGAUGAUGCUACAUUCAAAAAGUUGAUGAAGGAUAUCGAGUCGCAACCUCAAAUCUCUAGCUACGGAGCUACUCGUGCAUCUAGUAAAUUUGUGAGAGAUGUCAUGCCACAACCUCAACUUUCGAGCUAUGAUGACAACGGUGUCGAGCGGAGCAAGGUUGAACAAGGUGUCAGGCAUCAACUGAGGGGUACUGAUACAGGGAGAUUCGUUGGAGUUGUCGAGUCACAACCUCAAAUCUCUAAUUAUGGUGAUGAUGCUAUAUCAAUUAAGUUUGCGGAGGACGUAAAGUCGCAACCUCAGAUCUCGAGCUAUGAUGGUGAUGCUACAUCAAAGAAGUUCGUGAAGGACUUCAAGUCGCAGCCUCAAAUCUCUAGGUACGGACCUGAGCACAAAUUCAUGAAGGACAUCAUGCCGCAACCUCAAAUUUCGAGCUACGAUGACAACGGUAUCAAGCUAAGCAAGGUUGAAGAAGGUAGAUUCGUUAGAGACAUCGAGUCACAACCUCAAAUCUCCAACUAUGAUGGCGAUGCUAUGUCAAAUAAAUUUGUUAAGGACAUCGAGCCGCAACCUCAAAUCUCGAGCUAUGGAACCCCGCACAAAUUCACAAAGGACAUCAUGCCACAACCUCAAAUUUCGAGCUACGAUGAGAAGGGUGUCGAGCGGAGCAAGGUCGAAGAAGGUACUGGAAAAUUCGUUAGAGACCUCGAGUCACAGCCUCAAAUCUCCAACUACGACGACAAUAAUACCGCCCCGAAUAAGUUUGCAAAGGAUUUGAGGUCGGAACCUCAAAUCUCCAACUACGACGACAAUAAUACCGCCCCGAAUAAGUUUGCAAAGGAUUUGAGGUCGCAACCUCAAAUCUCUAACUAUGGAGAAAAGAUGGGAAACAAAUUCACGAAGGACAUCAUGCCACAACCUCAGAUUUCAAGCUAUGACGAGAAUGGCGUUGUAGGAAGCAAGAAAGAUGAUCUCGCCCAAGAACUAGUCAAGGUUGUGGAGCAGAUAGCCAUGGUUGUAGUGUAAGAGCUGGAUGAAGAAUUAAUGGUCCGCAGCCUAAAAUUAGCCAAGAUGAUGAUCAUUCUAUUGUACCCUGUUUUUAGUUUCAGUUAAUGCCCUGGAAUAAUGAUAAUUGUCAUGUAGUUUGCAUGUGUCUUAAUUAAUUUUCACAAAUAAUAAUAAUAAUUAUGAUCGCACGGACUUUAGUUUGU
rnacentral:lncRNA from 1 species